rnacentral:rRNA from 1 species
UACGGAGGGUGCAAGCGUUAUCCGGAUUCACUGGGUUUAAAGGGUGCGUAGGUGGGUUGGUAAGUCAGUGGUGAAAUCUCCGGGCUUAACUCGGAAACUGCCGUUGAUACUAUCAAUCUUGAAUAUUGUGGAGGUAAGCGGAAUAUGUCAUGUAGCGGUGAAAUGCUUAGAUAUGACAUAGAACACCGAUAGCGAAGGCAGCUUGCUACACAGUUAUUGAUACUGAGGCACGAAAGCGUGGGGAUCAAACAGG